rnacentral:rRNA from 1 species
AUGAACGCUAGCUACAGGCUUAACACAUGCAAGUCGAGGGGCAGCAUGAACUUAGCUUGCUAAGUUUGAUGGCGACCGGCGCACGGGUGAGUAACACGUAUCCAACCUGCCGAUGACUCGGGGAUAGCCUUUCGAAAGAAAGAUUAAUACCCGAUGGCAUAGUUCUUCCGCAUGGUAGAACUAUUAAAGUAUUUCGGUCAUCGAUGGGGAUGCGUUCCAUUAGGUUGUUGGCGGGGUAACGGCCCACCAAGCCUUCGAUGGAUAGGGGUUCUGAGAGGAAGGUCCCCCACAUUGGAACUGAGACACGGUCCAAACUCCUACGGGAGGCAGCAGUGAGGAAUAUUGGUCAAUGGACGAGAGUCUGAACCAGCCAAGUAGCGUGAAGGAUGACUGCCCUAUGGGUUGUAAACUUCUUUUAUACGGGAAUAAAGUGAGGCACGUGUGCCUUUUUGUAUGUACCGUAUGAAUAAGGAUCGGCUAACUCCGUGCCAGCAGCCGCGGUAAUACGGAGGAUCCGAGCGUUAUCCGGAUUUAUUGGGUUUAAAGGGAGCGUAGGCGGACGCUUAAGUCAGUUGUGAAAGUUUGCGGCUCAACCGUAAAAUUGCAGUUGAUACUGGGUGUCUUGAGUACAGUAGAGGCAGGCGGAAUUCGUGGUGUAGCGGUGAAAUGCUUAGAUAUCACGAAGAACUCCGAUUGCGAAGGCAGCUUGCUGGACUGUAACUGACGCUGAUGCUCGAAAGUGUGGGUAUCAAACAGGAUUAGAUACCCUGGUAGUCCACACAGUAAACGAUGAAUACUCGCUGUUUGCGAUAUACAGUAAGCGGCCAAGCGAAAGCGUUAAGUAUUCCACCUGGGGAGUACGCCGGCAACGGUGAAACUCAAAGGAAUUGACGGGGGCCCGCACAAGCGGAGGAACAUGUGGUUUAAUUCGAUGAUACGCGAGGAACCUUACCCGGGCUUGAAUUGCAACUGAAUGAUGUGGAGACAUGUCAGCCGCAAGGCAGUUGUGAAGGUGCUGCAUGGUUGUCGUCAGCUCGUGCCGUGAGGUGUCGGCUUAAGUGCCAUAACGAGCGCAACCCUUAUCGAUAGUUACCAUCAGGUUAUGCUGGGGACUCUGUCGAGACUGCCGUCGUAAGAUGUGAGGAAGGUGGGGAUGACGUCAAAUCAGCACGGCCCUUACGUCCGGGGCUACACACGUGUUACAAUGGGGGGUACAGAAGGCAGCUACACGGCGACGUGAUGCUAAUCCCGAAAGCCUCUCUCAGUUCGGAUUGGAGUCUGCAACCCGACUCCAUGAAGCUGGAUUCGCUAGUAAUCGCGCAUCAGCCACGGCGCGGUGAAUACGUUCCCGGGCCUUGUACACACCGCCCGUCAAGCCAUGAAAGCCGGGGGUACCUGAAGUGCGUAACCGCAAGGAGCGCCCUAGGGUAAAACUGGUGAUUGGGGCU